rnacentral:lncRNA from 10 species
ACCUGCGUCCAGUGUGCGGGAGGCGGAGAUGAACCCACAGAGCAGGGCGCCUGCCCUUGAGGACCUGCGUCCAGUGUGCGGGAGGCGGAGGUGAACCCACAGAGCAGGGCGCCUGCCCUUGAGGACCUGCGUCCAGUGUGCGGGAGGCGGAGGUGAACCCACACAGGAGGGCGCCCGCCCUGGGCAGCAGCAAGCCUUCCCCACCCACCAAACAGAACCUGGCCCACGAGUGUUUCACCACCAGGUCUGAUCUGAUUUAGGAGGGCUGUGGGGUUGUCCUGAUAAGUCAAAUUUUGUUAAAAACGUGUUCUUAGAGCCGUGGCAUUGGCCACACUCUGGGUGUGAGACUGCAGGGUGCUCAAAGGGUGUGGCCCUUCCCGGUCACCUUCCUCAGUCCAGACGUGCCUCUGCCACUCAGAGUGCGUGCCAGGCCCAACCAGCCGUGGCCCUCGGUUCCCUGGGGUGACAGGAAGGGAGAGAAAAGCACAUCAGGUAGGCAGGAGCAGGGGAGAAGGCAGCUCCACGUGAACUGUAAUGAGACAAAGAGGGCAGGAAUCUCGUUUUAAAAGUCACAGAAACAAAUGAAUUUUAACCUUUUUCUCACAAGAUAACCCUCCUGCAACAUUUCCUUUUCUUCGUUUUCUUUGCUUUCAUGGUUAUGCUGGGUUGGAACAUGCCCUGGCUACAAAUCAUAGUAGGCCUUUGAUAGACUUUAAAAAUGGCCAAAUGAAAUACAGAGAAUAUAAAGGAUUCAGAAGUAAUUAAUUCAAAACUACAACCUACUUUGAAACAUUUAUGCAGAGAAAUUCGUUGUUACAAAAGAGGGUCAGGGCCGGGCGCGGUGGCUCACGCCUGUAAUCCCAGCACUUUGGGAGGCCGAGGCGGGCACAUCACGAGGUCGGGA